AGUGAACGCUGGCGGUAGGCCUAACACAUGCAAGUCGAACGGCAGCACAGUAAGAGCUUGCUCUUACGGGUGGCGAGUGGCGGACGGGUGAGGAAUACAUCGGAAUCUACUUUUUCGUGGGGGAUAACGUAGGGAAACUUACGCUAAUACCGCAUACGACCUACGGGUGAAAGCAGGGGAUCUUCGGACCUUGCGCGAUUGAAUGAGCCGAUGUCGGAUUAGCUAGUUGGCGGGGUAAAGGCCCACCAAGGUGACGAUCCGUAGCUGGUCUGAGAGGAUGAUCAGCCACACUGAAACUGAGACACGGUCCAGACUCCUACGGGAGGCAGCAGUGGGGAAUAUUGGACAAUGGGCGCAAGCCUGAUCCAGCCAUACCGCGUGGGUGAAGAAGGCCUUCGGGUUGUAAAGCCCUUUUGUUGGGAAAGAAAAGCAGCAGGUUAAUACCCCGCUGUUCUGACGGUACCCAAGGAAUAAGCACCGGCUAACUUCGUG
rnacentral:rRNA from 1 species